GAUCAUGGCUCAGGACGAACGCUGGCGGCGUGCCUAAUACAUGCAAGUAGAACGCUGAAGGAAGGAGCUUGCUCUUUCCGGAUGAGUUGCGAACGGGUGAGUAACGCGUAGGUAACCUGCCUGGUAGCGGGGGAUAACUAUUGGAAACGAUAGCUAAUACCGCAUAAGAGUAGAUGUCGCAUGACAUUUGCUUAAAAGGUGCAAUUGCAUCACUACCAGAUGG
rnacentral:rRNA from 1 species